AUUGAACGCUGGCGGCAUGCUUUACACAUGCAAGUCGAACGGUAACAGGCCGCAAGGUGCUGACGAGUGGCGAACGGGUGAGUAAUGCAUCGGAACGUGCCCAGUCGUGGGGGAUAACGCAGCGAAAGCUGCGCUAAUACCGCAUACGAUCUAUGGAUGAAAGCGGGGGACCGUAAGGCCUCGCGCGAUUGGAGCGGCCGAUGUCAGAUUAGGUAGUUGGUGAGGUAAAGGCUCACCAAGCCAACGAUCUGUAGCUGGUCUGAGAGGACGACCAGCCACACUGGGACUGAGACACGGCCCAGAGUCCUACGGGAGGCAGCAGUGGGGAAUUUUGGACAAUGGGCGCAAGCCUGAUUCAGCAAUGCCGCGUGCAGGAAGAAGGCCUUCGGGUUGUAAACUGCUUUUGUACGGAACGAAACGGCUCUCACUAAUACUGGGGGCUAAUGACGGUACCGUAAGAAUAAGCACCGGCUAACUACGUGCCAGCCGCCGCGGUAACAC
rnacentral:rRNA from 1 species